UACGUAGGGGGCAAGCGUUGUCCGGAUUUAUUGGGCGUAAAGAGCGUGUAGGCGGCCAGAUAGGUCAGCUGUGAAAACUCGAGGCUCAACCUCGAGACGUCGGCGGAAACCAUCUGGCUAGAGUCCGGAAGAGGAGAGUGGAAUUCCUGGUGUAGCGGUGAAAUGCGCAGAUAUCAGGAAGAACACCCGUGGCGAAGGCGGCUCUCUGGGACGGUACUGACGCUGAGACGCGAAAGCGUGGGGAGCGAACAGG
rnacentral:rRNA from 1 species